rnacentral:tRNA from 1 species
UUAUUUAUAUAGUUUAAAUAAAACAUUACAUUUUCACUGUAAAAAUAAAAAACUUCUUUUUUAUAAA